UUCGUCCCACCACUUUCGUCUGAUUUUUUUCGUCGGUUAACCUUCGUAGAUUUUUUUUUUCCGUCCACCACCUCCCCUCCGCUGGUUUUAGCGUCACGACAGAACCAAUCCCUCGCUAGCCCUACCUCCUCUCCCGUCUCCAGUCGCAGCCGCCGCCGGCGCCGCACCCCAAUCCAACCCCGCCGCCGGCGAUCUCCUCGCCCCCCUGUGCCGUCGCCCCCAACCUUCUAUUCCUCUCCCAAGGGUAGGGAAGGGAAGGCAAGGCAAGGGAAGGGAGAGGGAGCGCUCAGAUCCACGGCGGCAUCAGCGCGCCGUCCUCGACCUGAUCCGCGUCAGUCCACGGAUGGGAGCUAAUCGGCGCAGGAAAUCCCCGUCCCCGCGUCCGAGCCCCGCCACCCUCCGCAACGGCUCGACCGCCCAUCGACGCGCUGCCCCCGCGGCGCCCGACCAGUUCGGCUCUCGCGGCUGGUGGACGCGCCCUUGCUGUUGCCGACGCCGGCUCGCUGCGCCGCACUGGCCCUCACAAGCGUCUUCUGUUGGUUACAACUCACGUUCCUCUCUAUUUUCUCUUUGAAUUUUCUUUUGAGCCGGUCAGGAAGCAAGAACAUGUCGAUUGACAUGCCAGUUGGAGAUGAUUUGAGGAAUUUUUACGUGUUUGGUAGAUGGACUUGAGAGGUCAAGGAGUUUCCAUUGGGACAUCGGACAUGCUCCUCCAUCUCCUCCGGUGGACGACAUCCAACAUCGCCAGUUCAUGCACUUAUGGACUGAAGAAAACAAAUGGAAAUGAAGAAGAAAAGAAUAGCAAUAUUAUCAUAUGCGAGGUUUGCUUUUAACCUUGGUUCCUAACCAAUAUUUGCUUCAUAAUUCUGCCGAGAGAUUCACACUGUCAUUCAUAUUAUGAAUAUAGUUCAUAACCAGUAUUCUCUUUUAUCUAAUUAUAUGUACAGAAAGGAGUAAUCUGAAGUGAAUUCAUGCUAUGUUAACAGUCUAACAAACAUCUUGGAGGUGUGAAUGCUUUGUUGGGUCUGACAAGUAAUCAAUAAUUGAUGGUAUACUGGGAUUUUUCUCAUACUUCUAGCACUUCCUCAUUGACAAUAAAGCAAGUAGUAUCACAACAAAGGCUAUCCAGGUAUUUUUUUUCAACUAUAAUCCUUCCAGCUUUAGGGACUGCUCAAUUGGAUCUGCACAAUCCAACAAAAUAAAUGUGCAUAGUGUCUGCGACACUUUCAUCCGAUCAUCACGAAGGUAGUUGUAGGAGUAAAAAAGUAUGUCAUACUGUUUUUUCAGUUCAAGCCAAAAGGCUAGGACAGGUAAUACUUGUUUUUACAGUACUUGUGCAAAAAGUAUGUCAUACUGUUUGCUCUAGAUGAUUUUGAUGAAUUUUACAACCUUAUUUUCAGUUGUUUACAGGUCUGCUUUCAUGGGGUUUAUUGAAUCCAGGAAAGAACUGUGAGUAGUAGCGAACCAGACAUGAAAAGUUUCAGAGAACUACGAAAACUCCGGGUUUGGGGGAGAUUGUCAGCGAGCCACUGAUGAAAGUCCUUUUGCGAUGACAAUGCUAGAGAAGAUUUGAAAGAUCUUGGUUGGCGUGGGGCAACUUGUGUAUUCCUGGAUGGGGGCGCCGUCCGGUGGUAGUGGGGUGUGGCAGUUGCCGCAGCUGGGCACAACCGGGAGUCCACCUAUCCAGAACACCCAACUAUUUCAUCCGGUGAACUGCGAAGAGCUUCUGUAAUUAGCACAAAUCUGAAAGCAUAUAUGCAGCUCCCAGAUGUUGCAGGCUAGAGGAAGGGCAGGCACUCAUGCGAUACCAUGUAUCUGGUAGUGGUUUCGUUCCCCAGACGCUAUGCAUUUAUUGUCUGGUUGGACGCGCCGGGUGUGGGGACACUGCAGGACAUGUUUGAUUAUCAUGUCAGUGAAUUCUGGCGAGAAUGAACCAAGUGAGCUUUUGUAGCUGAUCUAUUCAAAAUGGAUGAACGGACCAGUUAGUGUACAUAUAAAUUUGCACUCUGUCUUCCUGCUCAUUCGUGCAAUGUGUUCAUGGGAGACUUAUUUUAGGAAAACAUAAAAUAAUUUUUCUUUCUGUGCGUACUACUCCAACUUUCAAGUGCCAGGCUUCAAUAAAUCUGAAAUUUCUAUC